rnacentral:rRNA from 1 species
UACGAAGGGGGCUAGCGUUGCUCGGAAUCACUGGGCGUAAAGGGCGCGUAGGCGGCCUGAUAAGUCGGGGGUGAAAUCCUGUGGCUUAAUCACAGGGCUGCCUCCGAGACUGUCGGGCUCGAGCACAGUAGAGGCAGGUGGAAUUCCCGGUGUAGCGGUGGAAUGCGUAGAGAUCGGGAAGAACAUCGGUGGCGAAGGCGGCCUGCUGGGCUGUUGCUGACGCUGAGGCGCGACAGCGUGGGUAGCGAACAGG